ACUAAGGAACUCUGGGACUUGUAGUACUUGAGAGAACACCUCACAUAUAUUCUUCUUUGUUUCUUAACAAAUCUAUCCACUCUUACAAGACUGGAAUACCUGUAAUAGAUACAGGGAAAUAAGUGCAUAAAACCCUCAAGCAUGAUCUACAAUUUAGCCUCCUUUCCCUACUUCACAUAAUGGGCUUGCUGUCCAGGCUAGAUCUGCUCCCGCUCCGUGCUUCUGCCUUGGCUUCCCAUGGAAAUCAUCACCUGUUCAAUUUAGUGUUUGCCAUGCAGACAGUGUCAAGAGAACUGGAACUCCACCAGAAGAAAAGGCAACGCAAAAUGACCUAUAUAUCAUCCGAUGCAUCUAACAGAACAAGAAAUUGCUGAUCUUCACAAAACAUGUUUACUAAGGCUUAAUAAAGACUUUAAGCUGCAAUUCUGUACACAAUUACUUACUGUCUCCCACAUUUCCUGGAGCAUUAAAAACAUACUGGAGGAAGACACAGACGAUACCAGAGUGAUCAAGGGGUCAGAAAGCCUAUCAGCCUCUCCAGAUCCAAAGAACCUAAUGGCUCACCACGAUCCAAGAAUAAUGUGACCCCACCUCUCCGUGUGUGACAUAGACAAAUUGUGCAUGAAAGACAGAGCAACAACAAGAAGGCAAAAGAAAAACCAUAGAAGAGGUUGAUUCGACUACAGGAUCUCCACUGGGACAAACUUCUGAUCAACAAAACAUAAAAGACUGCUAGAUAGAAUACAGUAUUUAUUUAUUUAGACACUAAAACUUUGAGAAUUGAACCUUCCAGGGCUGGGCAAAAGAGAAGCAAGGCCUGCUACACAUGAAAGAGAGGCCUACUGGAAGGCUUGAACCAGAUACCUAUUGCUGGAAAAGUAGAGGAAGAGACAAUUGACUGCAAAAUGUUUUGGGGUGAGGUCAGGACUUGGAUGCAUAGGGUAUAGCAUAGUGCAGGGUAGCUGGAUGUGUUUCUUGCUACUUUUAUUUGUUCCUUAUUUGUUCCUAUUACUCAUAGGGUUGCUGUGUUUUAUAUCUAAGAUUUUAUAUAUACCUGCUGUUUAAAUUGGAAUUUUAAAAAUUUAAUAAAAUUUUCACUGUUUUGAUUCAA